UCUCCAUUCGGGUUGAGCAGAAGCCCAGCAAGCAGCGUUUCUCCUGCGAACCGCUUCCAACCGUUGAUGAGCAGGUAGAGAUUAGGUGGUAUAAGGUUAUGUGAUGGCUAAGAGUAGGGACAGAACCGAAGAUUUUAGGGAAGCUACCCGUGCGACAGCUCUCUCUUUUGGCUACGACGAGGCCAAAUUGGCUGCGCUCUUGGCAUCCUUCAUUUUGCGCAAACCCUUGGAGAAACCUCCAUUUGAAAAAGCUGCAAUUAAGACGCUUGAAAGUAUUUCAGAAUUGGAACACUUCAUCACUAAGCAUCGGAAAGAUUAUGUGGAUCUGCAUCGAAUCACUGAACAGGAGAGGGACAACAUUGAACAUGAAACAACAAAACAUAAUUGAGCGAAUACUGGAGGAUGUUCAAAAUGAGCAACACCAACAACAUAGAGUGCAACAAGUGCUCCCCAAGAAGGCUCAACAAUCGAAAUCGCCUGCAAGAAAACCAAGGACUGUUCCCAACUAUGCCCACAUUUCAGCAAUCAAAAUCCAAGCAGCAUAUAGAGGUUACAGGGUACUUGAUCCAACCAUGAGGCCGAGUAUAAAAGAGCUUUAAAAGGCUUCAAAUCGAGUGUUUCUAAACAUGUAACCAUUAUCGGUUGGCUAUCAAAUGGCUGUUCUUG